rnacentral:misc_RNA from 1 species
AAACCUUCAAGCUCUGCUUGGUGAUGGGUGCUGUCCGCAGGGACUCGCCUCAAAUGCAUUGGCAGCAGACUUCCAGCAGUUCUGUGCAGCACAUUGCGCGCCUCCUGGAGUCUGCGUCCAGCAAGCCUUCUUA